rfam:Hepacivirus hominis isolate 365514 polyprotein gene, complete cds
CACUCCCCUGUGAGGAACUACUGUCUUCACGCAGAAAGCGUCUAGCCAUGGCGUUAGUAUGAGUGUCGUACAGCCUCCAGGACCCCCCCUCCCGGGAGAGCCAUAGUGGUCUGCGGAACCGGUGAGUACACCGGAAUUGCCAGGACGACCGGGUCCUUUCUUGGAUAAACCCGCUCAAUGCCUGGAGAUUUGGGCGUGCCCCCGCAAGACCGCUAGCCGAGUAGUGUUGGGUCGCGAAAGGCCUUGUGGUACUGCCUGAUAGGGUGCUUGCGAGUGCCCCGGGAGGUCUCGUAGACCGUGCACCAUGAGCACGAAUC